rnacentral:rRNA from 1 species
AACGAACGCUGGCGGCAGGCUUAACACAUGCAAGUCGAACGCCCGUAGCAAUACACAGUGGCGCACGGGUGCGUAACACGUAUGCAACCUACCUUACAUUGGGGGAUAGCCUUUCGAAAGGGAGAUUAAUACCGCAUAAGACAGUAACUAGGCAUCUAGUAGCUGUUAAAGAUUUAUCGAUGUAAGCUGGGCAUGCGUCCAAUUAGUUAGUUGGCGAGGUAAUGGCUCACCAAGACGAUGAUUGGUAGGGGAACUGAGAGGUCAAUCCCCCACACUGGCACUGAGAUACGGGCCAGACUCCUACGGGAGGCAGCAGUAGGGAAUAUUGGGCAAUGGGCGCAAGCCUGACCCAGCCAUGCCGCGUGCAGGAAGAAGGCGUUAUGCGUUGUAAACUGCUUUUAUACAGGAAGAAACGACCCUUGCGAGGGGCAUUGACGGUACUGUAUGAAUAAGCACCGGCUAACUCCGUGCCAGCCGCCGCAGUAACAC